UUACAUCAGGCCUUUUACCCAACUGAUGUGAAAUCCUUCCCCUUUAAAACAAAAACCCUAAAUCCAUUUCUUUAUUCUUCUUCCUCACGUGCCGCUGGCGCCGCACUUCCGUUUCGAAUCAGAGGUGAUCUUCUCACUCCUCUCUUCCCUGCGUUUUAAACUCCCCAAUUCCAUUAUUGAUUUAUGGUUACAAAUUACAUGUCGGAUGGAAACGGAAACAAACGUAAGCAAAAAUGAUAAAAAGCAGUUCAACAACGAAUCAAGAAAAUGAGACAGAUUUACCAAGUGUGAACUCUGCAAAAUCGAUACCCAGGACCAUUGGUGAUGUUGAAUAAGUGAUGGAAACUUAAAGAAAAGCAAAAGAAAUCAAGCUUUGGAAAAUAGCCAUGGAAGAGAAAGUUUAGACUUCAAGUUUUUUUUACUUACUUGAUUCAUUAUUAAACUUAUUACUUUCUUUGUCUUUAUUACUUUUCUGAGUUCAAUAUUUGUUGUGUUCACUGGUGUUACAAUUCAGUUUUGUUUACUUUUGUAAGUUAAGACUUUAUAAUUACUGGAAUAUGUCUCUGGUGUUUCUAUCCAUUAAUUACUUCAGGAAUAUGGACCGUUCAAGGAGCCUGUUAUUCAAAAUUAUACCAGCAUAUUAUCUCUGGACUUGCGUAUCUAUAUGGACCGUACACAAGCAUAUUGUCUCUGGACUUGCGUAUCUAUAUGGACCGUACACAGAUAAUUUAGUUAUUCUUAAUCCAUUUAUAAUAUGACAUGUAAGCUACUUUAUUCUCAUCCAAUCUAUUAUCGUUAUUUUUUGCCGAGAUAUCAAAGGGGCUAACAUACUGGUUGUUCUUAAUGGUGAAAUCAAACUAGCAGACUUUGGAAUGGCUAAGCAUUUAACUUCUGCUGCUUCAAUGUUUUCAUUCAAAUGAAGUCCGUACUAGAUGGCACCUGAGGUUGUAAUGAACACAAAUGGCUAUAGCCUUCCGGUUGAUAUAGGGAGCUUAGGAUGCACACUUAUUGAAAUGGCAAUGUAAGAAUGAUCUCACUCCGGAGGAAGAGGAGGAAGUUUGUCAUAAAAAUCAGUGGGCUUUUGAAUGAAUUUCUUCAAGGAUAUGUCUAGUGGGUUUAUGUUAUAUAUCUUUUUAUUCAUAGAAGAAUUUUAAGUUAGGUCUAUCUAAGUUUAUUAGUACUUGAUUAUCUUUUGGUUUAUGUUUGUUGAUUCUAGUCAUGAAUCUCCUUCUUCGUUGGAAGAUUUUAGUGCAUCUUGAAUUGUAAGUAAUAGUUGAAUAUGAUUGGUUGAUGCGUUUAUAUGCUUAACUGUCUUGU